rnacentral:rRNA from 1 species
AUGGAGGGGGAUAACAGAGAGAAAUCACUGCUAAUACCGCAUAAGCACACAUUGCCGCAUGGCAGAGUGUGAAAAGAUUUAUCGCCAUAAGAUGGACCCGCGUGUGAUUAGCCAGUUGGCAGGGUAAAAGCCUACCAAAGCAACGAUCAGUAGCCGAUCUGAGAGGAUGACCGGCCACAUUGGGACUGAGACACGGCGCAAACUCCUACGGGAGGCAAGCAGUGGGGAAUAUUGCACAAUGGGGGAAACCCUGAUGCAGCGACGCCGCGUGAGUGAAGAAGUAUAUCGGUAUGUAAAGCUCUAUCAGCAGGGAAGAUAAUGACAGUACCUGACUAAGAAGCCCCGGCUGACUACGUGCCAGCAGCCGCGGUAAUACGUAGGGGGCAAGCGUUAUCCGGAUUUACUGGGUGUAAAGGGAGCGUAGACGGAAUGGCAAGUCUGAAGUGAAAACCCCGGGCUCAACCUGGGGACUGCUUUGGAAACUGUUGUUCUAGAGUGUUGGAGAGGUAAGUGGAUUCCUGGUGUAGCGGUGAAAUGCGUAGAUAUCAG